GUAUGAUGGACAACUGACACAACGGGUGACUUGGAUGCAUUAGGGACUCUGAACGACAUCGGAGGAACCGAUGAAACAGACAGUAUUAUGCCUUUUUGUAUGAAAGGUUUUCCAAACACCAAGAACAGAGAAUGUAAACGUCACGACAACUCCCCCGGGAACCUCAACCCACUCGCUACACAUUCCAUGCCCCAACAACCAACGCAAAACUGUGGCCCAAGUGCAUUGCGCAGAAUCACCCUGGCCCAAGAAGGGCUACAGGGCUGAAAAUGUACGGAUUCAAGAACUGGCGCUCUAUGGAUACGGACUCCAACGAGACCGGCCCUGCAGAAUCUGGAACGCUUGAUGAAAAAAGUCUAGAGCCCUCGGUAUCCACGAUUUGUCAGAACAGCCAGCGCCAAAAAAGCAUUUUAACUAUACUCCUCCCCGGCGAAAAAAACGGCACAGAAGGCCACAUACAGCUGGGGGAUUCCGGCUCACCGGAAGUUUUCCCUCCAUGUGUAGAUCAACCAUCCUGCAUGUAAAUCCUGGGUAUGCCCACAUCAUUAAUGAAUAAGAUGUGUAGAAAACUGUUUAGCCAUAAGUAAAGGCCUUUCAUAAAGAGGCUGUCAUGAUUGCCUGUGCCACAUGUUUAACACGUAUUGCUUGUUACCGUAUACUACUGUUGUACAUUUAAUAUUCACUAGCAGAUUUCGUCGCAUUUGCACAAAUUCUGUCAUGUUACUGUGGUCUUUCUAAAUGACAAUAAAUAUGUGUAUAAAGUGUACAUGUUUGUUUCACUGUAGAUUUGUUUAAGCCCUCCUAGAAACAUCUAAUUUUAUCCCACCGCAUUAAUUAACAAGCUGUGUAGAAGCUGUUGAGCCAAAACAUCACUGCUCUAGAGGAGAUCUGCAUGGAGGAAUGGGCCAAAAUACCAGUAGUGUGUGAAAACCUUGUAA